UACGUAGGGGGCAAGCGUUGUCCGGAUUUAUUGGGCGUAAAGAGCGUGUAGGCGGCCAUACAGGUCCGUUGUGAAAACUGGAGGCUUAACCUCCAGACGUCGAUGGAAACCGUAUGGCUAGAGUCCGGAAGAGGAGAGUGGAAUUCCUGGUGUAGCGGUGAAAUGCGCAGAUAUCAGGAAGAACACCCGUGGCGAAGGCGGCUCUCUGGGCCUUGCCUGACGCUGAGGCGCGAAAGCUAGGGGAGCGAACAGG
rnacentral:rRNA from 1 species